AGCAGACCCAAAUUUGCCCCAAGCCUUCCCUAGGCGCCGGGGGCCAGGGGCGGGCCCUGCCGCCCGAGGGGAAGGGUCUUAGCGACUGCAGCUGAGCGAAUUUCCGACCCACCCAGCGCUCACUGGUGACCACUAUCUCCGGCUACCGCGCCCCCUCCUCUCCAGCCCCUCACUGCCUGAGGCUCACAGCCCGCGGCUUUCCAUCACUUUACAACACGUUUCUCUCCCAGGUUGGUCCUUCCCACCAGCGCAGCGACUUUGGAGCGUGCUUCUCUUCUGACAAACGCAAGGGCCCAACGCAUUUGUCACUUUGCCUUCUCACUUUGCCAACAAAUGAUGCUUCGGUGGAGGCUGCCUGCCCGAGAGGGGCCUAAGGAUGGCGCCUACCUCCACCUUGUCCCCACCCCGCGACGGAAUGGCUGGUGCUGUGUCAUCCACGUCUCCCUUCAAGGCGUCAGGGAAGCCACAUGCAAUAUCUCUUUCUUUCAGAGGGCUCCUGUUUCAACUCUGAAAAAGCACGGG
rnacentral:lncRNA from 1 species